rnacentral:rRNA from 1 species
ACGAACGCUGGCGGCGUGCUUAACACCUUCAAGUCGAACGGAAAGGCCCUGCUUUUGUGGGGUGCUCGAGUGGCGAACGGGUGAGUAACACGUGAGUAACCUGCCCUUGACUUUGGGAUAACUUCAGGAAACUGGGGCUAAUACCGGAUAGGAUCUCCUGCUGCAUGGUGGGGGUUGGAAAGUUUCGGCGGUUGGGGAUGGACUCGCGGCUUAUCAGCUUGUUGGUGGGGUAGUGGCUUACCAAGGCAUUGACGGGUAGCCGGCCUGAGAGGGUGACCGGCCACAUUGGGACUGAGAUACGGACCAGACUCCUACGGGAGGCAGCAGUGGGGAAUAUUGCACAAUGGGCGGAAGCCUGAUGCAGCAACGCCGCGUGCGGGAUGACGGCCUUCGGGUUGUAAACCGCUUUCGCCUGUGACGAAGCGUGAGUGACGGUAAUGGGUAAAGAAGCACCGGCUAACUACGUG